AUGUCCACUUUGCCACGAUCGAAGAAAUGUUGUAUGUCUGGACCUGAUCCAAAACCAAGUUCUAAUUGCCCUUCUGCAUGUUCUGUAAUGUUCAAAGUGCCAUCAGAACCAACCAACGGAAUGCCCAAAACAGGCAGUGCAACAGACGUAGAUGAGGGUCUUUACUCCCGGCAGCUGUAUGUCCUGGGCCAUGAGGCUAUGAAGCAUCUCCAGACAUCCAGUGUGCUGGUGUCAGGCCUUCGGGGCCUAGGGGUGGAGAUUGCGAAGAAUAUCAUCCUUGGUGGGGUCAAAGCUGCCACCCUCCAUGACCAGGGCACUGCCCAGUGGGCUGACCUCUCAUCCCAGUUCUACCUAAGGGAGGAGGACAUCGGUAAGAACCGGGCUGAGGCAUCACAGCCCCGCCUUGCUGAACUCAACAGUUAUGUGCCUGUCACCACCUACACUGGGGCCCUUGUUGAUGACUUCCUUAGUGGUUUCCAGGUGGUGGUCCUUACCAACUCUCCUUUGGAGGACCAGCUGCGGGUGGGUGAGUUUUGUCACAGCCAUGGAAUCAAGCUGGUGGUGGCAGACACUCGGGGUCUGUUUGGGUGAUUGUUCUGUGACUUUGGAGAGGAGAUGAUCCUGACGGACUCGAAUGGGGAACAGCCUCUCAGUGCUAUGAUUUCUAUGGUUACCAAGGACAACCCUGGUGUUAUAACCUGCCUGGAUGAGGCCCGACACGGGUUUGAGAGUGGUGACUUCGUCUCCUUCACAGAAGUUCAGGCCAUGAAUGAACUCAAUGGCAUCAGUCCCCUAGAGAUCAAAGUCCUGGGUCCCUACACCUUUAGUAUCUGUGAUACCUCCAAUUUCUGUGACUAUAUCUGUGGAGGCGUUGUCAGUCAGGUCAAAGUAACUAAGAAGAUGAGCUUUAAAUCCUUGCCCACUUCACUGGCAGUGCCAGACUUUGUGAUAACAGAUUUUACCAAGUAUUCUCGCCCUCCGCAGCUGCACAUUGGCUUCCAGGCCCUGCACCAGUUCUGUGCUCAGCAUGGCCAGCCCCCUCGGCCCCACAAUGAGGAGGGUGCAACAGAACUGGUGACCCUAGCACAGGCUGUGAAUGCUCAAGCUCUGCCAGCAGUGCAGCAAAACAGUCUGGAUGAAGACCUCAUCCGGAAGCUGGCUUAUGUGGCUGCUGGGGAUCUGGCACCCAUAAAUUCCUUCAUUAGGGGUGUGGCUGCCCAGGAGGUUAAGAAGGCCUGCUCUGGAAAGUUUAUGCCUGUUAUGCAGUGGCUGUACUUUGAUGCCGUUUAGUGUCUCCCUGAGGACAAAGAGGCCUUUACAGAGGACCGGUGCCUUCCAUGCCAGAACCCUUAUGAUGGGCAGGUGGCUGUAUUUGGCUCUGGCCUGCUAGAGAAGUUGGCCAAGCAGAGAUACUUCUUGGUGAGAGAUCCUUUUGGUGGGUGCAGGGCCAUUGGCUGUGAGCUGCUCAAGAACUUUGCCAUGAUAGGGCUAGGCUGCAGGGAGGGCGGGGCAAUCACCAUUACAGACAUGGACACCAUAGAAAAAUCCAAUCUGAAUCGACAGUUUCUGUUCCAGCCUUGGGAUGUCAAGAAAUUGAAGUCUGAUACAGCUGCUGCAGCUGUGAGCCAGAUAAAUCCACACAUCAUGGGUGAUGAGCCAUCAGAACUGUGUGGGCCCUGACACAGAGCAUGUGUAUGAUGAUAACUUCUUCCAAAACCUGGAUGGUGUGGCCAAUGCCCUGGACAAUGUGGAUGCCCACACGUAUAUGGACCGCUGCUGUGUGUACUACCGUAAGCCACUUCUGGAGUCAGGCACACUGGGUACCAAGGGUAAUGUGCAAGUGGUUAUCCCCUUCCUGACAGAGUCAUACAGCUCCAGCCAGGACCCUCUUGAGAAGUCCAUCCCCAUCUGCACACUGAAGAACUUCCCGAAUGCCAUCGAGCACACUUUGCAGUGGGCUCGGGAUGAGUUCGAAGGUCUCUUCAAGCAACCAGCAGAAAACGUCAACCAGUACCUAAUAGAUUCAACAUUUGUGGAGAGAACACUGCACCUGGCAGGCACCAAACCCCUGUAGGUGCUGGAGGCUGUGCAGCACAGCCUGGUGCUUCAGCGGCCAUAUACAUGGGCUGACUGUGUGACCUGGGCUUACUACCACUGGCACACCCAGUACUCCAACAACAUCAGAUGGUUGCUGCACAACUUUCCCCCGAACCUGCUUACAAGCUCAGGAGCCCCUUUCUGGUCUGGGCCUAAACGCUGUCCACACCCGCUCAUCUUUGAUGUCAGCAGUCCCCUGCAUCUGGACUACGUGAUAGCUGCUGCCAGCCUGUUUGCCCAGACCUAUGGGCUGAGGGGCUCUCAGGACCGAGCUGCUGUGACCAUACUCAUUCGGUCUGUGCAGGUCCCUGAGUUCACCCCGAAGUCUGGUGUCAAGAUGCAUGUUUCUGACCAGGAGCUGCAGACCACUUCCUGUGUUGAUGAUAACCACCUGCAAGAGCUCAAGGCCAUGCUGCCCAGCCCAGAGAGCCUCCCUGGGUUCAAGAGGUACCCCAUCAACUUUGAGAAGGAUGAUGACAGCAACUUUCAUAUGGAUUUCAUUGUGGCUGCAUCCAAUCUCCGGGCGGAGAACUAUAACAUUCCCCCUGCAGACCGGCAUAAGAGUAAGUUGAUUGCAGGGAAGAUCAUUCCAGCCAUUGCCACAACCACAGCAGCUAUAGUUGGCCUUGCAUGUCUGGAGCGGUACAAGGUGGUGCAGGGACACCAACAGCUUGAGUCCUAUAAGAACAGCUUCGUCAGCUUGGCCCUGCCCUUUUUCAGCUUCUCUGAGCCCCUUGCCCCACACCAUCACCAGUACUAUAACCAGCAGUGGACAUUGUGGGAUCGCUUUGAGUUACAGGGGCUGAAGCCUAAUGGUGAAGAGAUGCCCCUCAAGCAGUUCCUUGACUACUUUAAGACAGAGCACAAGUUAGAGAUCACCAUGCUGUCCCAAGGUGUAUCCAUGCUGUACUCCUUUUUCAUGACAGCAAGCAAGCUCAAGGAACGGUUGAAUCAGCCAUGAGUUGGGAUGACAGCAAUAGUGAGAUGAGUAUCAAAGCGACAGCUGGGACACCACGUUCAAGCACUGGUGCUUGAGCUGUGCUGCAAGGACGAGAGUGGCGAGGAUGUGGAGGUCCCCUAUGUACAAUACACCCUUCGCUGA